rnacentral:misc_RNA from 1 species
GACCGGUCAUGGAAAACGACCUGCGGCCCGGCAGGCUCAGCCAGCCAGUCGUCACCCCACUUUUUGAGCGCCAGAUACGUCGGGAAGAAAUCCCGACCUUUUUCCGUCAAUACAUACUCAUACCGGCCGGCAUGUUCAGGCAGAGGAACACGGGUCAUGAUCCCUGCAUCAACGAGUUUCUUCAGGCGGGUACUGAGAAUA